UACAGGGGGGGCAAGCGUUGUUCGGAAUUACUGGGCGUAAAGGGUUCGUAGGUGGCCACUUAAGUCAGACGUGAAAUCCCUCAGCUUAACUGGGGAACUGCGUCUGAUACUGGGUGGCUUGAGUGCAGGAGAGGGAUGCGGAAUUCCAGGUGUAGCGGUGAAAUGCGUAGAUAUCUGGAGGAACACCGGUGGCGAAGGCGGCAUCCUGGACUGUAACUGACACUGAGGAACGAAAGCCGAGGGGGAGACAAACCGGGGGAUUAGAAAACCCCCUGGUAGCCCAG
rnacentral:rRNA from 1 species